ACUCCUACGGGAGGCAGCAGUGGGGAAUUUUGGACAAUGGGCGCAAGCCUGAUCCAGCAAUGCCGCGUGCAGGAAGAAGGCCUUCGGGUUGUAAACUGUUUUUGUCAGGGAAGAAAUUUUCUGGGCUAAUACCCCGGGAGGAUGACGGUACCUGAAGAAUAAGCACCNGGUAAGUACGUGCCNGCAGCCGCGGUAAUACGUAGGGUGCGAGCGUUAAUCGGAAUUACCGGGCGUAAAGCGUGAGCAGGCGGCUUUGCAAGACAGAUGUGAAAUCCCCGGGCUCAACCUGGGAACUGCAUUUGUGACUGCAAGGAUAGAGUACGGCAGAGGGGGAUGGAAUUUUGCUGUGUAGCAAGUGAAAUGUGUAGAUAUGGGGAGGAACACCCAAUGGCGAAGGCAAUCCCCUGGGACCUGUAGCUGACCCUUCAUGCAAGAAAGCCGUGGGGAGC
rnacentral:rRNA from 1 species